GAUGAACGCUAGCGGCAGGCCUAAUACAUGCAAGUCGAGCGGCAAGUCGAGGAGUAAUCUGAGACCUAGAGCGGCGUACGGGUGCGUAACGCGUAUGCAACUUACCUCAUACAGGGGGAUAGCCCGGAGAAAUCUGGAUUAAUACCCCAUGGCACAGCACAAGGGCAUCUGCGAGCUGUUAAAGAUUCAUCGGUAUGAGAUGGGCAUGCGUCUGAUUAGCUAGUUGGCGGUGUAACGGACCACCAAGGCGACGAUCAGUAGGGGUUCUGAGAGGAAGGUCCCCCACACUGGCACUGAGAUACGGGCCAGACUCCUACGGGAGGCAGCAGUAGGGAAUAUUGGGCAAUGGUCGGAAGACUGACCCAGCCAUGCCGCGUGCAGGAAGAAGGCCUAUUGGGUUGUAAACUGCUUUUAUCUGGGAAGAAAAGGCCCGUGCGCGGGACAUUGCCGGUACCAGAUGAAUAAGCACCGGCUAACUCCGUGCCAGCCGCCGCUGUAACAC
rnacentral:rRNA from 1 species